rnacentral:tRNA from 1 species
GCUCCGGUGGUACAGUGGAUAGCACGGCCCCCUCCUAAGGGGCAGGUCGCAGGUUCGAUUCCUGCCCGGAGCGCCA